rnacentral:sRNA from 1 species
UGGCGCCGCGUGUCAACCGGACGCGAUGGGCACGGGGAACAUUGCGGUUUUUCCGGUUUCCCGCCUUGGCCAACGAAACGGCAGACGAGCCUCUGUUCCAUCCGCGGC